rnacentral:rRNA from 1 species
AGAGUUUGAUCAUGGCUCAGAUUGAACGCUGGCGGUAGGCUUAACACAUGCAAGUCGUGCGAGAAAGUAUCUUCGGAUAUGAGUAGAGCGGCGGACGGGUGAGUAACGCGUAGGAAUCUACCUAGUAGAAGGGGAUAGCCCGGGGAAACUCGGAUUAAUACCGUAUACCUCCUUCGGGAGAAAGAAGGCCUCUCAUUGAAGCUUUCGCUACUAGAUGAGCCUGCGUAAGAUUAGCUUGUUGGUGAGGUAAAGGCUCACCAAGGCGACGAUCUUUAGCGGGUCUGAGAGGACGAUCCGCCACAUUGGGACUGAGACACGGCCCAGACUCCUACGGGAGGCAGCAGUGGGGAAUAUUGGACAAUGGGCGCAAGCCUGAUCCAGCCAUACCGCGUGUGUGAAGAAGGCCCUAGGGUUGUAAAGCACUUUAAGUUGGGAAGAAAAGUUAUUGGUUAAUACCCAAUAGCCGUGACAUUACCAUCAGAAUAAGGACCGGCUAAUUCCGUGCCAGCAGCCGCGGUAAUACGGAAGGUCCAAGCGUUAAUCGGAAUUACUGGGCGUAAAGCGCGCGUAGGUGGUUUAUUAAGUUGGAUGUGAAAUCCCCGGGCUCAACCUGGGAACUGCAUCCAAAACUGAUUCACUAGAGUACGAUAGAGGGAGGUAGAAUUCACAGUGUAGCGGUGGAAUGCGUAGAUAUUGUGAAGAAUACCAAUGGCGAAGGCAGCCUCCUGGAUCUGUACUGACACUGAGGUGCGAAA